GCGAGGGAUCACCCGGCUCCAUUGUGCGCUCCGGCUCGGCCGGGGCAGCCCUGCCUCGAGGGAGGGGGCAGCCCGGGUUGGAAAGGAGGGGGAACGAAGGAGAGAAACGUAGAAACACGGCCUGCUCUGCUCGGAGCUGAGACAGCAUUGCUGGGACAAAGGGUGGGAGGCUGGAUGGCUUCUGAAAAGCACAAGGAGGAACAGGAAGGCAAAAUUCCACUCCAACAUUGUAUUCUGCCGUGGGCAGCAGCCAAGUUUGUGAGCAGCAACAGAGAGGAAUUAUUUAGAGGAGAGGGAGCAGGACUACUCUCAAUUAUAUGCUGCUGGUCCCCCCACUUAAGCAUGAAGUAUGGCCCAAAUAUGAAAGAGGGACAGAACGCCAUCUGAUUUUAGCAGCAAAAGGAAAGCCAGGAUGUGUUUCAUUUCUACUCUCAUCAGCUCCAAUCAGCAUCAGCAAGAGAUGAUGAAACUCGCAGUCUACAAUGAUGGAAGGUAUCAAGUUGUUCACUAUGUUACAACAACUCUGCAAGAUUGGUUCAUAUUUCAUUAUCCAGCUCACACUGUUAGCCAUUAUGUUAGCCAGCUCAUAGAUAUUAGAGGAAUUUUAAACAGCAAUAGUGAUAUAAGGACAACUGCAUGGCGAUGGCACACAGGACAGAGAAGCUAUAAGACGGUGGAACACAAAAGGAAGAGCACCUGGACACAGAAUCACUCAUUUAACAGGGAUGAAGCAGACAUCCUGAAGUAUCCCUGUAAUAUAGACUGAAAGAAAGGCUCUUGGGAAUAUUAUGUGCUGCAGCUUAGGGAAAUGGGGAUGGCAGUGAGCAGAUACAAUAACGAGUGGGAGGUUGCACAAAGGCAGAAAAGUUUGGCAGGGUGGCUGUACCUGGCCGCCCCAACCUCAGAGUGGGGUCACUGGUUCGCCGGCAAUGCCAAAGCUCUGGCAAAUAAAGAAAAAAACAGAAGCCAUCAGGGAUGGCCUAGUGAACCCUGGAGAGGAAGGGGUGGAAUAACUGAAUCAUACUAUUUGGCACACAAAACACAUAACUCUUCAAAUAACCAGAAGGGUACCAGUAACUGAAAGAUGGUAUUUUGUAACUUUGUGAAGGGACAGAAAUGGCAAUGGUAGGUGAAAAGACUUGGGGCACUCUUUCAUUCAGGGCAGGUCACAUUCUUAGUAAUGAUCUCUAUAAUCAACAGAUUCAACUGCUAAUAAUUUCUCUGAUUCACAGCAUUUCACUCGCAGGCACUUCUCCCCAGGGAAUGAGGGGGGUCACUUCUAGGGGAUGUUGAUUAUAGUAAUGAGACGUCUGGGUUGAGACCCUCCCUCUGUAUGCCUUUGAACGCAAAGUUAAUUUAAGUAGAAUGCCAGUCCAGCACAAUUUCCCUUUCCCCACAUAAAGCCUGAAAUAAUAGUCAAGAAAAGGCAUCAUCAGAUUAAUGAAAGAACUCAAAAUUACAAAUCCUAUCACCAAAAAACAUUUCAACCCUGAAUAAACUCACCGACUGAUGGUGUCCUAAAGCAGA